rnacentral:rRNA from 1 species
GAGGUGCCAUUGAUACUGCGAGUCUUGAGUAUGGUUGAGGUAGGCGGAAUGUGCAGUGUAGCGGUGAAAUGCAUAGAGAUUGCACAGAACACCGAUUGCGGAGGCAGCUUACUAAGCCAAUACUGACGCUGAGGCACGAAAGCGUGGGGAGCGAACAGGAUUAGAUACCCUGGUAGUCCACGCCGUAAACGAUGUUCACUCGCUGUUUGCGAUAUACAGUAAGCGGCUUAGCGAAAGCAUUAAGUGAACCACCUGGGGAGUACGAUCGCAAGGUUGAAACUCAAAGGAAUUGACGGGGGCCCGCACAAGCGGAGGAACAUGUGGUUUAAUUCGAUGAUACGCGAGGAACCUUACCUGGGCUUAAAUGUAGGCUGCAUUUCCGGGAAACCG